rnacentral:rRNA from 1 species
AUUGAACGCUGGCGGCAUGCCUUACACAUGCAAGUCGGACGGCAGCGGGGGAGAAGCUUGCUUUUCCUGCCGGCGGGUGGCGAACGGGUGAGUAAUACAUCGGAACGUGCCCUGUAGUGGGGGAUAACUAGUCGAAAGAUUAGCUAAUACCGCAUACGACCUGAGGGUGAAAGUGGGGGACCGCAAGGCCUCAUGCUAUAGGAGCGGCUGAUGUCUGAUUAGCUAGUUGGUGGGGUAAAGGCCUACCAAGGCGACGAUCAGUAGCUGGUCUGAGAGGACGAUCAGCCACACUGGGACUGAGACACGGGCCAGACUCCUACGGGAGGCAGCAGUGGGGAAUUUUGGACAAUGGGCGAAAGCCUGAUCCAGCAAUGCCGCGUGUGUGAAGAAGGCCUUCGGGUUGUAAAGCACUUUUGUCCGGAAAGAAAUGGCUCUGGUUAAUACCUGGGGUCGAUGACGGUACCGGAAGAAUAAGGACCGGCUAACUACGUGCCAGCCGCCGCCGUAA